AGCGAACGCUGGCGGCAGGCCUAACACAUGCAAGUCGAACGAACUCUUCGGAGUUAGUGGCGGACGGGUGAGUAACACGUGGGAACGUGCCUUUAGGCUCGGAAUAACUCAGGGAAACUUGUGCUAAUACCGAAUGUGCCCUUCGGGGGAAAGAUUUAUCGCCUUUAGAGCGGCCCGCGUCUGAUUAGCUAGUUGGUGAGGUAAAGGCUCACCAAGGAGACGAUCAGUAGCUGGUCUGAGAGGAUGAUCAGCCACAUUGGGACUGAGAAACGGCCCAAACUCCUACGGGAGGCAGCAGUGGGGAAUCUUGCGCAAUGGGCGAAAGCCUGACGCAGCCAUGCCGCGUGAAUGAUGAAGGUCUUAGGAUUGUAAAAUUCUUUCACCGGGGACGAUAAUGACGGUACCCGGAGAAGAAGCCCCGGCUAACUUCGUGCCAGCAGCCGCGGUAA
rnacentral:rRNA from 1 species